GGAAUACUUAGUACGGCGAGUGAAGCGGUAAAAGCUCAAAUUUGAAAUCUGGUACUUUCAGUGCCCGAGUUGUAAUUUGUAGAAUUUGUCUUUGAUUAGGUCCUUGUCUAUGUUCCUUGGAACAGGACGUCAUAGAGGGUGAGAAUCCCGUUUGGCGAGGAUACCUUUUCUCUGUAAGACUUUUUCGAAGAGUCGAGUUGUUUGGGAAUGCAGCUCAAAGUGGGUGGUAAAUUCCAUCUAAAGCUAAAUAUUGGCGAGAGACCGAUAGCGAACAAGUACAGUGAUGGAAAGAUGAAAAGAACUUUGAAAAGAGAGUGAAAAAGUACGUGAAAUUGUUGAAAGGGAAGGGCAUUUGAUCAGACAUGGUGUUUUUUGCAUGCACUCGCCUCUCGUGGGCUUGGGCCUCUCAAAAAUUUCACUGGGCCAACAUCAAUUCUGGCAGCAGGAUAAAUCAUUAAGAAUGUAGCUACUUCGGUAGUGUUAUAGCUUUUUGGAAUACUGUUAGCCGGGAUUGAGGACUGCGCUUCGGCAAGGAUGUUGGCAUAAUGGUUAAAUGCCGCCCGUCUUGAACCACGGGACCA
rnacentral:rRNA from 1 species